GAGUUUGAUUCUGGCUCAGGAUGAACGCUGGCGGCGUGCCUAACACAUGCAAGUCGAGCGCGGUUGUGCUUAGUAUUGAGUGUUUUAUUGAUAUAAAACAUUGAAUUCUAUGCACAACUGAGCGGCGGACGGGUGAGUAACGCGUGGGUAACCUGCCCUAUACACAUGGAUAACAUACUGAAAAGUUUACUAAUACAUGAUAAAAUAGUUUUUCGGCAUCGAAGAAUUAUCAAAGUGUUAGCGGUAUAGGAUGGACCCGCGUCUGAUUAGCUAGUUGGUGAGAUAACUGCCCACCAAGGCGACGAUCAGUAGCCGACCUGAGAGGGUGAUCGGCCACAUUGGAACUGAGACACGGUCCAAACUCCUACGGGAGGCAGCAGUGGGGAAUAUUGCACAAUGGGCGCAAGCCUGAUGCAGCAACGCCGCGUGAACGAUGAAGGUCUUCGGAUCGUAAAGUUCUGUUGCAGGGGAAGAUAAUGACGUACCCCUNG
rnacentral:rRNA from 1 species